rnacentral:tRNA from 1 species
CUUGGUAACAAGGGCAUUGCCCUGUUAGUGGGUCUACAGCCCACUGCUUGACCUCAGCCAUAUUACC